CAGGUUAUCACAGAAGGUGCUAAAACAUAAAAAGGAUAAAUCAGGGAAUGAGUAUGUCAAAACAGAAAGAACAGUCGAAGUGGUUGAGGGUAGUGAUGGAUGACUAGUUAAGAUGGUAUGGGCAUCUAUAUCAGAAAUAUUAGAAGGCUUCAAUAAGGUAGGUACUCAAACCUUUGUUGAAGGAUUUAGAAAUAACAUGAAAAGACCUAAUUACUAAGCAGCUAAGACGGAAAAAAUAUAUAAGAAAG
rnacentral:lncRNA from 1 species